UACGUAGGGGGCGAGCGUUGUCCGGAAUCAUUGGGCGUAAAGAGCGCGUAGGCGGCCCGACAAGUCCGCUGUGAAAGUCAAAGGGCUCAACCCUUGAAUGCCGGUGGAGUACUGUCGGGCUAGAGUCCGGAAGAGGCGAGUGGAAUUCCUGGUGUAGCGGUGGAAUGCGCAGAUAGUCAGGAGGAACACCUAUAGCGAAGGCAGCUCGCUGGUACGACACUGACGCUAAGGCGCGAAAGCGUGGGGAGCGAACAGG
rnacentral:rRNA from 1 species